rnacentral:tRNA from 1 species
GCACCCAUGACGUAGCGGCAGCGUACCGUCUUGCCAAGGCGGAGGUGCGGGUUCAACUCCCGCUGGGCGCA